UGAAUCACCUAACUUCCCCAUCUUUUGAAAAGACCUUGGAGGAUGAUCUUCUUAUUUCAUAUGAGAUGCGAAAUGCAAUGCCUAAUGCCCUAAAACAUGAAAUGCAAUGUCCCAAACUAGUCUCAAGAAGAAGAGGGCAAAUUUUGAGGUGUUACAGCUACCCCUUUUCAAUCCACUGGAGACCCGAAAAGAAGAUAGCAG
rnacentral:lncRNA from 1 species